GCUAUGCCCGAUCUCGUCUGAUCUCGAAAGCUAAGCAGGUUUGGCCCUGGUUAGUACUUGGAUGAGAGACCGCCUAGGAAUACCAGGCGCUUUAAGCUU
rnacentral:rRNA from 1 species